rnacentral:rRNA from 1 species
AGAGUUUGAUCCUGGCUCAGAACGAACGCUGGCGGCAUGCCUAACACAUGCAAGUCGAACGCCUCUAGCAAUAGAGGAGUGGCGCACGGGUGAGUAACGCGUGGGAACCUGCCCUGGAGUGUGGGAUAACCCGGCGAAAGCCGGGCUAAUACCGCAUACGACCUGAGGGUGAAAGAUUUAUCGCUCUAGGAGGGGCCCGCGUCGGAUUAGCUAGUUGGUGAGGUAACGGCUCACCAAGGCGAUGAUCCGUAGCUGGUCUGAGAGGAUGAUCAGCCACACUGGGACUGAGACACGGCCCAGACUCCUACGGGAGGCAGCAGUGGGGAAUAUUGGACAAUGGGGGCAACCCUGAUCCAGCAAUGCCGCGUGGGCGAUGAAGGCCUUCGGGUUGUAAAGCCCUUUUGCACGCGACGAUGAUGACGGUAGCGUGAGAAGAAGCCCCGGCUAACUUCGUGCCAGCAGCCGCGGUAAUACGAAGGGGGCGAGCGUUGUUCGGAAUUACUGGGCGUAAAGGGCGCGCAGGCGGCCUUAGAAGUCAGAUGUGAAAGCCCCGGGCUCAACCUGGGAAUGGCAUUUGAUACUCUGAGGCUGGAGUACGGGAGAGGAGAGUGGAAUUCCCAGUGUAGAGGUGAAAUUCGUAGAUAUUGGGAAGAACACCGGUGGCGAAGGCGGCUCUCUGGACCGUAACUGACGCUGAGGCGCGAAAGCGUGGGGAGCAAACAGGAUUAGAUACCCCCGUAGUCC